AAGAAAGUUCAUUCAAUUGGAAGGAAACGUGAAAUCUUCUCUUUUGCUACAGUAUGGCUAGAAUUCAAGGGCAUCAUGUUAAGUGAAAUAAGCAAAGAAGAGGGGCAAGUACUGUAUGAUCACACCCACAGAAGGGAUUUAAGCAAUGGAGCAAGGAACAUAUAUAAGCACACAUGAGGGGCCGAGUGGUGAAGCACCUGGUUGAGAGCACAUGUUAUAAUGCGCAAGAACUCACGUUUGAGCCCUCUGGUCCCUACCUGUAAGGGAAAAGCUUUGCAAGAGGUGAAGCAGUGCUGCAGCUGCCCCUCACCGGCCUCAGACACCCUGUGCCACCCAGGAGAUCUUAGACGGAGCUGCGGAAGGAGAAUUGCAGGUAGAUGAUCAGCAGCAGGACCGUGGCCCAGAACAGGCACCAGGGGAUGGAGCAGAAGUUGCAGCCAGAAGCCUCCUCAGUCUGAGGCUUGGUGGGGCUGGGCGCCCUGGAGAAGGUGU